CGAGUAUACUGGACAGUCGCCGCACCGAAGCGAAAGUAAAGUGCGGAGGAAAGUCCGGGCUCCCAGGAUCAGGGCGCCGGGUAACUCCCGGUAAAGGUGACUUUAAGGAAAGUGCAACAGAAAGGAUACCGCCUAAAAAGGCAAGGGUGAAAGGGUGAGGUAAGAGCUCACCGGCAGUCUGGUAACUGACUGGCUUUGUAAACCCCGUCUGGAGCAACACCGUGGUGGGAUAAUGGAGAUCCGCAGUCCCAAGGAGGUGGCUCGAGCCUGUUGGAGACAAUGGGCCAAGAUAGAUGACUGUUCUCGACAGAACCCGGCUUAUAGGUAUACUCGAAAG
rnacentral:RNase_P_RNA from 1 species